rnacentral:rRNA from 1 species
GGCGGCACGCCUAACACAUGCAAGUCGAGCGCCCAGCAAUGGGAGCGGCGGACGGGUGAGUAACACGUGGGAAUAUGCCUUUCGGUACGGAACAACUCAGGGAAACUUGAGCUAAUGCCGUAUACGCCCUUACGGGGAAAGAUUUAUCGCCGAAAGAUUAGCCCGCGUCUGAUUAGCUAGUUGGUGAGGUAAUGGCUCACCAAGGCUUCGAUCAGUAGCUGGUUUGAGAGAACGACCAGCCACACUGGGACUGAGACACGGCCCAGACUCCUACGGGAGGCAGCAGUGGGGAAUCUUGGACAAUGGGGGAAACCCUGAUCCAGCGAUGCCGCGUGAGUGAUGAAGGCCUUCGGGUUGUAAAACUCUUUCGACGGGGACGAUAAUGACGGUACCCGUAGAAGAAGCUCCGGCUAACUUCGUGCCAGCAGCCGCGGUAAUACGAAGGGGGCUAGCGUUGUUCGGAAUUACUGGGCGUAAAGCGCGCGCAGGCGGCUUCUCAAGUCAGGGGU